rnacentral:rRNA from 1 species
GAUGAACGCUGGCGGCGUGCCUAAUACAUGCAAGUCGAGCGAACGGACGAUAAGCUUGCUUCUCUGCUGUUAGCGGCGGACGGGUGAGUAACACGUGGAUCACCUACCUAUUAGACUUGGAUAACUUCGGGAAACCGGAGCUAAUACCGGAUGAUAUUUUGAACCGCAUGGUUCAAAAGUGCAUGACGGUCUUGCUGUCACUUAUAGCUGGUUUCGCGCUGCAUUAGCUAGUUGGUAAGGUAACGGCUUACCAAGGCAACGAUGCAUAGCCGACCUGAGAGGGUGAUCGGCCACACUGGAACUGAGACACGGUCCAGACUCCUACGGGAGGCAGCAGUAGGGAAUCUUGGGCAAUGGGCGAAAGCCUGACGGAGCAACGCCGCGUGAGUGAAGAAGGUCUUCGGGUCGUAAAACUCUGUUAUUAGGGAAGAACAGAUGUGUAAGUAACUGUGCACAUCUUGACGGUACCUAAUCAGAAAGCCACGGCUAACUACGUG